UCCAAGGGCCACAUAACGAGGUCAUAGAGAGAGAGGGAGGGACCGUGGAUCUGGGGCUUUGACAUUACUGGGUCCAAGUGUGGGUUUUCUUGGGUUCACUCUUUCUUGGUGAAUUUAGAACAUAAGAAGGCAGGAAUUGGGGUCCAGGGAGGAAAAAGCAGGACCACUCAAGCAGUCACUUAUCUAGGUUACACAGGGCUUUCUGGAAAGGGGACUUCCCAAGUGGGGGCACCCUAACUCCUCAUCUGGUUGUUCAGCUAGUGGCCGUGUCACACCGCCGGCUGUGUGUUUAUUUGAGAUGGUUAUAUUUGAAAUGGAUGGCUCAGCAACCAAAAGCUUAAUGUCAGCCACUUACAUGACAAUCAAAAAAGCUUAUCAUAAGGCACUCACACUGUAUCGUGUUAAGCAUUUUCAUGUUAUUUUUGGGAUGAAAACACAAGCACUUUAAAAUCUCACCACUCGUGUUCUACUGAGAAUAGUAUAUCCCCAAGCCGAGAACACUGAUCUGAAGGGUUAUGGGGGGUUUUAAAUGACAUGACAUUGUUUAAAGAGCUUAACACAAUACUUGAGUAAGUGCUCAGUAAUUUUCAGUUUCCUUCCCUUCCCUUUUCACUUUAUAGAUUAGACUUUCAUAGUCCACUGUGAGCAUUAAUUUGUUCAGCUCUGCCUUCAGGUGGAACAUCUGUAUAAAUCCAGCUUUGUGAAUAUUUUUAAACUGAGAGAUUUUCCAUCUGUUUUGGAGUUACAGCGGCGCACAUUAUCCUCACUUGAGCUCUUAAUGAUAUAUGUGUGAUGGAAACAAGACGUUUUAACGCACAUGCAUCGACACCAUGGAACACAAGAGAGAAGUCCGACGUCCAAUGUAUCAGUAAGGUCAACUGCUUGACCUCUGAUGCCUAAGGUUAUUACAAGGAAAUGUUUGAUGAGGAAAAGAAAGUCUUCAAAUUCCUGGACGAGUCAUGCAAUAGGUCUGUUCCCCCCAGCCCCCAAAUCUGCCACUCUUUCUUAGAAGUCCUUCUGGAUUUUGUGUACUCUGUUGAGAUUGCUGAUUAGUUACAGUGUGCUAUGACAAUGUUCUUUAUUAAAUAAAAUGUUCUGUGA